GAUGAAGAACGCAGCGAAAUGCGAUAACUAAUGUGAAUUGCAGAAUUCCGUGAAUCAUCGAGUCUUUGAACGCACAUUGCGCCCCCUGGUAUUCCGGGGGGCAUGCCUGUCCGAGCGUCAUUGCUGCCCAUCAAGCACGGCUUGUGUGUUGGGUCCUCGUCCCCCCCGGGGGACGUGCCCGAAAGGCAGCGGCGGCACCGCGUCCGGUCCUCGAGCGUAUGGGGCUUUGUCACCCGCUCUGCAGGCCCGGCCGGCGCUGGCCGAUGCGAAAGCAACCAUUUUUUCUCCAGGUUGACCUCGGAUCAGGUAGGGAUACCCGCUGAACUUAAGCAUAUCAAUAAGCGGAGGA
rnacentral:misc_RNA from 1 species